GGGAGCGCGCGCUGUGUGACAGCUCAAAGCAGUCCACGUCAACAGAGAGUGAGCGCAGCGGCGGCAGCGAUGGACUCCGCUUCCCUGGAACCUUCUCUCUAUACAGUAAAAGCUGUUUUUAUUCUGGAUAAUGAUGGCAACAGACUUCUAUCGAAGUACUAUGACCCUGAACUUUACCCCACCAUGAAGGAGCAGAAGAACUUUGAGAGCAACGUCUUCAGCAAAACCCACAAAGCAGACAAUGAAAUAGCGUUCCUGGAGGGGAUGACCAUCGUCUAUAAGAGCAGCAUAGAUCUUUUUUUCUACGUGGUGGGAAGUGCUCAGGAAAAUGAGCUGAUGCUGAUGUCCGUCCUCAACUGUCUGUUUGAUUCCCUCACUCACAUCCUGAGAAAGAAUGUGGAGCGGAGGUGUUUGCUGGACAACAUGGAAGGAGUUUUCCUCGUAGUGGAUGAAAUCAUUGAUGGAGGGGUGAUUUUGGAGAGUGACCCCCAACAGGUCCUACAGAAGGUCAACUACAGGCAUAUGGCUGAGCCAGCCUAUGGCUUCGUCCUGUUUGAUUACAUCACCGGUAACCUAGAGGCACAAACAGACAGGAGCCAGCUGCUGUAGACAGUCAGACAAACCCAGGGCGGACGACAACCCAUUAACCGAGCAAAGCGUUGCCCAGGUUCUUCAGUCAGCGAAGGAGCAGAUAAAAUGGUCCAUCCUAAAAUGACAUGGGAAGAAGAAAAAUAAAAUCAAUGAAAGAAAUGUUGGAUAUCUCUAAGCUAUUUUCCUAGAUCCAGGUCAUCAGCUGACAGUCUGACAGAAAAGGGCUCAGUAAAAUAGUUUGUUUUUUUUUAUUUUAUUUUUUUCUGAUGGUGAUUCGUUACAUUUGUUUAAAGUGUAUUUAAUUGGUUUUAUUGUAUUUUUUGUCUAAUUGAUGGAUGUAUAGAGUGGAAAUGUAGCAAGCCAAACGGUGCUGCAGGUUCUUAAAGGGACACCCAGGAAAUGAUCCAGUGCCUGAUCAGUCAGCAGAAAGGUUGAAAUAUGAAAAGAAAACGUUUUAACUGAUAUUUUCAACCAAAUAUCCCAUAUUUAAUGGUGCUUUCUUCUCUUUAAAUCAUGUUUUAUUCACCGUCUCACAAACAUAUCUGCUGUAGCUUCAAAGGGAUAAAAAAAAAACAAUGAGGGGAAAAAAAAUCAAAUAUGCUUUAAAGUGGUUUGAAAAUAUUUCAAACUAAAACGUUUUGCCUUUUUUCAGCAGGAAUUUGGACUUUAGGCCUAAAUAAACAGCAGCGACCUUUUCUACAGAGUUUGAAGGAUUAUUUACUUUGAAAUUUAAAGACACUAAGAGUAGCUUGGGUGGUUUUUAUUACAGAUGCACUGAAAACAAGAUGCAAAAACAUUCACUAGAUUUUAUUAUCAAGAAGAAAACAAAGAAGCUAAACCUGGAAAUGUUACAAAAUAUUGUCUGUUUUACUUUUCGUGAUAAACUCAGAUUGUUCGUAGAUAAUAAAUAUUUUCAUAGAUGAAAAUAAAUAAAAUGCCAAACAUGAUUUUUAUUGGAGGUGAUGUUACUGAAAGGAGCUGAUUUUAUCUGCUGUUGGUGAGACUCACAAUAAAAACGCUCAUACUGGUUUUA